rnacentral:lncRNA from 1 species
AUCAGUGGACUAGUUGAAAGUUUCCCAGGGCCAUACACAUGUAGGUUUUGUCUUGGACAUUCUUCCAAGUACCAGACACUUGAAGUGCGAGGUGGAGCUUUUCCACCUCGUACAAAGGAGGACCAUAAUUUGCAUGUACAAACUGUUAAAGAAAAUCCCAGUUUAACACAUUUCUUUGGAGUAAAGCGGUCAUGUCCACUGACUGACAAAUUGACUCACUUUCACUUUGUUUCUGGGUACCCACCAGAUGUACUUCAUGAUAUCUUUGAAGGGAUUGUUCCAAGAGAACUGGCAUUGUGUAUUCAGGUUUUCACUAAGAAGAAGUACUUUAAUUUAACUCAACUUAAUGAGUUAAUUACAUGUUUCCCCUAUAAGGGAUCAGACAAAACCAAUAGCCCUCAGGAAAUCCCUCAAACAUACACAAGUCGUAAAUCUAUAGGGGGAAACGCUCAUGAAAACUGGGCCCUAAUAUGGUUGUUGCCACUCAUUAUUGGUUCACUGAUACCCGAGGGUGAUUCUGCUUGGCAGGUUCUUCUGACUUUAAAAGACAUAGUUGAAUUGGUGGUUGCCCCUGUUCAUACACUUGAGACAAUUGCAUACCUGGACUUCAAAAUAUCUGAACAUCGUGACAGAUUUUUGGCAGUUUUUCCAGAAGAGAGACUGAUACCCAAGCACCAUUUUUUGGAACACUACCCUACAUUGAUCGAAGAAUAUGGGCCUCUGGUUGGUGUAUGGACAAUGCGCUUUGAAGCGAAACACAGCUUUUUUAAGCAAGUUGUGAGGCACACUAACAAUUUCAGGAAUGUCUUGUUGACUCUUUCGACACGACACCAGAUGAUGAUGGCAUACCACCUGCAAACAGAUGGUGGAAAGCAGGCAAUAUGUGUUGCUAAAAUAUAUGAGGUGCCUUUAAAUGUGUUGCAUCCAGACAUACAGGAAACCUUAAGAGAUACAUCACCACUUAUGUCUACUGUGUUGUUAGCCAAGACUGUCACCUGUUAUGGAACAAGGUACAAUGUUGGGAUGAUCCUUUCCUAUGGCUCUACAGGUGGACUUCCUGAUUUUGCUGAGAUUAUUCAGAUUGCUAUUUUGGACAACUGUGUACACUUCAUUGUAAAGUUACUUGCUGCCUGGUAUGAAGAGCAUCUAAGGUCUUUUCAGUUGGAGGACACUGGUAAAAUGGCACUUUGGGAGCAGCAGAAACUUGGUGAUGUCUACCCCUUGGCUGCAUACAGUGUGGGAGGAAAACGCUUGGUUACACUCAAACAUCACAUCUGUUGUUCGGUUUAG